rnacentral:rRNA from 1 species
UCAGGACGAACGCUGGCGGCGUGCCUAAUACAUGCAAGUCGAACGGGGUUCAGCUAGUGGUAACACUAGCGAAAACCUAGUGGCGAACGGGUGCGUAACACGUGAGCAACCUGCCCCGAAGACAGGGAUAACAGCGGGAAACCGCUGCUAAUACCAGAUACCCCCGCGGCCCUUCAUGGGGCUGCGAGGAAAGGAUUUCCGCUUCGGGAGGGGCUCGCGGCCUAUCAGCUUGUUGGCGAGGUAACGGCUCACCAAGGCGACGACGGGUAGCUGGUCUGAGAGGACGAUCAGCCACACUGGGACUGAGACACGGCCCAGACUCCUACGGGAGGCAGCAGUAGGGAAUCUUGCGCAAUGGGCGAAAGCCUGACGCAGCAACGCCGCGUGGGGGAUGACGGCCUUCGGGUUGUAAACUCCUUUCAGUGGGAACGAAAAUGACGGUACCCACAGAAGAAGCCCCGGCCA